rnacentral:rRNA from 1 species
UACGGAGGGUGCAAGCGUUACCCGGAAUUACUGGGCGUAAAGCGUGCGCAGGCGGUUUUGUAAGCCAGAUGUGAAAUCCCCGGGCUUAACCUGGGAAUGGCAUUUGGGACUGCAAGGCUGGAGUGUGGCAGAGGAGACUGGAAUUCCUGGUGUAGCAGUGAAAUGCGUAGAUAUCAGGAGGAAUACCGAUGGCGAAGGCAGGUCUCUGGGCUGACACUGACGCUCAUGCACGAAAGCGUGGGGAGCAAACAGG